GUCUGGUCUGAGCGCAGUGGUGUUUACAACUAAUUGAUCACAGCCAGUCACAGAUUUACUUGUUCCUUUUCUUCUCCCACUUUUUCAUUCUACUAGCCUUUG
rnacentral:Y_RNA from 1 species